rnacentral:tRNA from 4 species
GGAGAGUUGGCUGAGUGGUCGAAAGCGUCGCACUCGAAAUGCGAAGUGCCCGCAAGGGUACCGAGGGUUCGAAUCCCUCACUCUCCUCCA